UCCCUUUUUUUACCUUCAGGGCCUAGGAACCCCAAACCCAGUUGUACAAAUUGGUUCACACAUAUUUUCUGGCAAAUAUGAAACUAAUGUUGGUACUUCGUUACUGUUUGAUGAUUUAAAUAAAGAUGGUACUUCCAAAUUAGAGUAUUUAUGCCACACUGAUAAAAAGCUGCUUCUGAAACGAGUCUUCCUGCAAAAGAAAGACGAUUCUCCAAGAAUUGACAUUGAUGAUAUGGAAGACUGCAGUAUUCUCUCUUCUGGUAAUACCCUGAGGUCUUGUAAUAUGCCUCUGUGAUCCAGAAUGAAGCCUAACAAUGUCAUAGCAUCCAUUUACUUGCAAGUCUAUGAUGGAAUCAGACAGACAAACUAAGAAUGAUUUCUCUCCAAAAAGAUGUUCAAAAGCCACAACCAUCCUUCAGCACAGUAUGACCAUUAACAUUAUGUAAAUUAACAUUAUGUAAAUUAACAUUUAAAUAAAUCCAUCAUUGAUA
rnacentral:lncRNA from 1 species